CUACGGGUUGCUGCAGUGAGGAAUAUUGCACAAUGGGGGGAACCCUGAUGCAGCAACGCCGCGUGGAGGAUGACGCAUUUCGGUGUGUAAACUCCUUUUAUAUGUCAAGAAAAUGACGGUAGCAUAUGAAUAAGCACCGGCUAACUCCGUGCCAGCAGCCGCGGUAAUACGGAGGUGUGCAAGCGUUACUCGGAAUCACUGGGCGUAAAGGACGCGUAGGCGGGUUGGAAAGUCAGGUGUGAAAUCCUACAGCUUAACGGUAGAACUGCACUUGAAACUUCUAAUCUAGAGUAUGGGAGGGGGAGAUGGAAUUAGUGGUGUAGGGGUAAGAUCCGUAGAUAUCACUAGGAAUACCUAAAGCGAAGGCGAUCUCCUGGAACAUUACUGACGCUAAGGCGUGAAAGCGUGGGGAGCAAACAGGAUUAGAUACCCUAGUAGUC
rnacentral:rRNA from 1 species